rnacentral:rRNA from 1 species
UCCUAUACUGCAGUCGAGCGGACAGAUGGGAGCUUGCUCCCUGAUGUUAGCGGCGGACGGGUGAGUAACACGUGGGUAACCUGCCUGUAAGACUGGGAUAACUCCGGGAAACCGGGGCUAAUACCGGAUGGUUGUUUGAACCGCAUGGUUCAGACAUAAAAGGUGGCUUCGGCUACCACUUACAGAUGGACCCGCGGCGCAUUAGCUAGUUGGUGAGGUAACGGCUCACCAAGGCGACGAUGCGUAACCGACCUGAGAGGGUGAUCGGCCACACUGGGACUGAGACACGGCCCAGACUCCUACGGGAGGCAGCAGUAGGGAAUCUUCCGCAAUGGACGAAAGUCUGACGGAGCAACGCCGCGUGAGUGAUGAAGGUUUUCGGAUCGUAAAGCUCUGUUGUUAGGGAAGAACAAGUGCCGUUCAAAUAGGGCGGCACCUUGACGGUACCUAACCAGAAAGCCACGGCUAACUACGUGCCAGCAGCCGCGGUAAUACGUAGGUGGCAAGCGUUGUCCGGAAUUAUUGGGCGUAAAGGGCUCGCAGGCGGUUUCUUAAGUCUGAUGUGAAAGCCCCCGGCUCAACCGGGGAGGGUCAUUGGAAACUGGGGAACUUGAGUGCAGAAGAGGAGAGUGGAAUUCCACGUGUAGCGGUGAAAUGCGUAGAGAUGUGGAGGAACACCAGUGGCGAAGGCGACUCUCUGGUCUGUAACUGACGCUGAGGAGCGAAAGCGUGGGGAGCGAACAGGAUUAGAUACCCUGGUAGUCCACGCCGUAAACGAUGAGUGCUAAGUGUUAGGGGGUUUCCGCCCCUUAGUGCUGCAGCUAACGCAUUAAGCACUCCGCCUGGGGAGUACGGUCGCAAGACUGAAACUCAAAGGAAUUGACGGGGGCCCGCACAAGCGGUGGAAGCAUGUGGUUUAAUUCGAAGCAACGCGAAGAACCUUACCAGGUCUUGACAUCCUCUGACAWYCCUAGAGAUAGGACGUCCCCUUCGGGGGCAGAGUGACAGGUGGUGCAUGGUUGUCGUCAGCUCGUGUCGUGAGAUGUUGGGUUAAGUCCCGCAACGAGCGCAACCCUUGAUCUUAGUUGCCAGCAUUCAGUUGGGCACUCUAAGGUGACUGCCGGUGACAAACCGGAGGAAGGUGGGGAUGACGUCAAAUCAUCAUGCCCCUUAUGACCUGGGCUACACACGUGCUACAAUGGGCAGAACAAAGGGCAGCGAAACCGCGAGGUUAAGCCAAUCCCACAAAUCUGUUCUCAGUUCGGAUCGCAGUCUGCAACUCGACUGCGUGAAGCUGGAAUCGCUAGUAAUCGCGGAUCAGCAUGCCGCGGUGAAUACGUUCCCGGGCCUUGUACACACCGCCCGUCACACCACGAGAGUUUGUAACACCCGAAGUCGGUGAGGUAACCUUUUAGGAGCCAGCCGCCGAAGAUAC